rnacentral:rRNA from 1 species
AUUGAACGCUGGCGGCAGGCCUAACACAUGCAAGUCGAACGAGUGGCGCACGGGUGAGUAAUUUCUGGGAAACUGCGCUCUGGAGGGGGAUAACUCCUGUAAACGGUAGCUAAUACCGCAUACCAUCGGAUGUGCCCCGAUGGGUUUAGCUAGGGGGUGGGGGAACGGCUCACCUAGGCGACGAUCCCUAGCUGUGCUGAGAGGAUGACCAGCCACACUGGAACUGAGACACGGUCCAGACUCCUACGGGAGGCAGCAGUGGGGAAUAUUGCACAAUGGGCGCAAGCCUGAUGCAGCCAUGCCGCGUGUAUGAAGAAGGCCUUCGGGUUGUAAAGUACUUUCAGCGAGGAGGCGUUACGCGCAGAAGAAGCACCGGCUAACUCCGUGCCAGCAGCCGCGGUAAUAC